rnacentral:rRNA from 1 species
AAGAAAGUAAGUAAGGGCGCAUGGCGGAUGCCUUGGCUCUCAGAGGCGAUGAAGGACGUGAUAAGCUGCGAUAAGCUUCGGGUAGGUGCAAAUAACCUUUUAUCCGGAGAUUUCCGAAUGGGGCAACCCAGUGUUAUGAAGUAACAUUAUUCCUGCUUGCAGGAAAGCUAACCCAGUGAACUGAAACAUCUAAGUAACUGGAGGAAUAGAAAACAAUAGUGAUUCCCUUAGUAGCGGCGAGCGAAAGGGGAAUAGCCCAAAUCUCAGCGGUUUCGGCCGUUGAGAGGUUGUAGGACUGCAUUGUG